CUGGUUCAAAUAUGAUGCCCAGUGAUGGGAGAAUUGAAAACCUAAACAGUGGUAAGCGUGGUUGAUUUUUCAUUAGCCCGUACUUACCACAAGCACCACCUCUCUCUCUCACUACAACAAACAACAACCAAGCCUUAUCCCACUAUACGUGGGAUUGGCUGGAUGAAUCAUUGAACGCCAUUACGCUGGGUUUUGUGCCAAGUCUUCCGUUAUCUCUGUCUCUCAUACAUAUAAAUAUAUACAUACAUUCACACAUACAUACGUUGGUGGUGCAUGGUGGAGUACGAAGGCUUUUGAGGAACGCCACUAGCCGUGAACUGUAUAUGACUCGUUCAAAGGUGUGAGAUCUGAGGGCACGAACCUUUGAAGUAGUGAUGCUUGUCAAGUUAUUUUUCAAGGUUAGAGCACGAGCCUUUGGUGUAGUAAUGUUGUGCUAAUGAUGAGUUAUACUCUGUAUCUAGCCUUUCUUUUUCUUGAAUUAUUUUGGAUCAUUACCAUGUUCUCUGAUAUAGUUUUUUUGCUGCUUCUGAAAGGUUUAUUUGCCUAAUGAUGGAAAACUCAUUUAUGGAGCGGUUCUGUGGAUUGUUAUUAGGAGCCUUUUCUAUCAUUUUCCUAUACUAGUCGCCGUCAUCAUCAACACCACCAUUCUUCUCUCUCUCUCUCUCUCUCUCUCUCUUCUCUCUCUCUUCUCUCUCCCUCUCUGGCUUGUAUGGUUGAAGAUGUGAAGAGGUUCAUAGUGAUAAUCCACAGUUAACUAGCAAUGACCAGAUAUAGCUAUGAGAUCUGAAGGCUCUUCAGUUUUUUGCCUUUUUUUAUUUAAGAUAUGCUUGUUGAAUUUUAAAUUAUUUUUGUUCCCUUAGUUAUUUAUAUAGGUCAUUGCAGCAUUGUAGACAUUAUUUUAGUUUAACUGGAGCACUUUUGGCAUUGCAGUAUUUGAUUACUAUAAAUGUACUGUUACUUUUGUAUUGAUUUCAAAUUUUCUGUUAAUAGAAAACCAAAGAGCACUUUCGGCAUUGCAGUAUUUUUGUAUAUAAUGCGAGCUCCCUUCAGACUCAAACCUGCUUGUACAUUGUUACAUAUAAAGCUAAUAAACUGUCGUUUGGAAAAAAAUUCACUCUUUCAUUGUUACUGAGUGCUUUUAUUUCCUACAAAGCUAUUAUUGUAGAUUGUUUUUGUUGAAAGAUGGUUAUACAUUUUGAUUAACUUUAUCUUCUGGUUCAAAUAUGAUGCCCAGUGAUGGAAAGUUGAAAACCUAAAUAGUGGUAAGGGUGGUUGAUUCUUCAUUAUCCCGUACUAACCACAAGCACCACCUCUCUCUCUCUCUCUCUCUCUCUCUCUCUCUCUCUAAUAUAUAUACAUACAUACAUACACACACAUACGUUGGUGCUGCAUUGUGGAGUAUGAAGGCUUUUGAGGAACGCCAUUGCCCAUGAACUGGAAAUGACUUAUUGCUAUG
rnacentral:lncRNA from 1 species